rnacentral:rRNA from 1 species
ACGAACGCUGGCGGCAUGUCUAACACAUGCAAGUCGAACGAGACCUUCGGGUCUAGUGGCGCACGGGUGCGUAACGCGUGGGAACCUGCCCUUAGGUUCGGAAUAACUCCCCGAAAGGGGUGCUAAUACCGGAUAAUGUCUUCGGACCAAAGAUUUAUCGCCUUUGGAUGGGCCCGCGUUGGAUUAGCUAGUUGGUAGGGUAAAAGCCUACCAAGGCGACGAUCCAUAGCUGGUCUGAGAGGAUGAUCAGCCACACUGGGACUGAGACACGGCCCAGACUCCUACGGGAGGCAGCAGUGGGGAAUAUUGGACAAUGGGCGAAAGCCUGAUCCAGCAAUGCCGCGUGAGUGAUGAAGGCCUUAGGGUUGUAAAGCUCUUUUACCCGGGAUGAUAAUGACAGUACCGGGAGAAUAAGCUCCGGCUAACUCCGUG